rnacentral:rRNA from 1 species
GGACCAAGGAGUCUAGCAUGUGCGCGAGUCAUUGGGACUCUAACGAAACCUAAAGGCGUAAUGAAAGUGAAGGCUCGCCUUGCGCGGGCCGAGGGAGGAUGGGUGUCCCUAAGGGGACGCCUCGCACUCCCAGGGCGUCUCGUUCUCAUUGCGAGAAGAGGCGCACCAAGAGCGUACACGCUGGGACCCGAAAGAUGGUGAACUAUGCCUGGUCAGGACGAAGUCAGGGGAAACCCUGAUGGAGGUCCGUAGCGAUUCUGACGUGCAAAUCGAUCGUCGGAACUGGGUAUAGGGGCGAAAGACUAAUCGAACCAUCUAGUAGCUGGUUCCCUCCGAAGUUUCCCUCAGGAUAGCUGGCGCUCGCUUCUCGCGAGUCUCAUUCGGUAAAGCGAAUGAUUAGAGGCAUUGGGGUCGAAACGGCCUCAACCUAUUCUCAAACUUUAAAUGGGUGAGAUCUCCGGCUUGCUUGAACUGUGAAGCCGCG